rnacentral:lncRNA from 1 species
GUACGUCUGCAAUUUGUUGCCCAGUGCCCAUUCAGCAUAGCCAACCAAAACGAAACUUCAGGAUUCUCGCUAGUCAUUCAACUAACUGUAAAAGUUAGAAAAGUCAGUUAGGAUUUCUUUUCAGCAGCUGGGUUGUACGUUGAUCACUUCACACGUGGUUUGGUUUCAACAAAGCAGUAUAAUCAAGUAAAUGUUAGAAGCAGUCCAAGAUUCAAAUGUUUCUUCCUUCAGACAGGUGUUGCUGCAGCUGCAUGACGAAGCCGAUAUACUUUGCUAACUUGACUUUAAAAUCAUGGCUCUAAACUCCAGAGUUCAGAAAGAAUUGCGGGAAUCAUAUCACAUGACAGAAGUGGCUAUUCGAAACAGUCAGCACUCACAUCACAGUGGACCACCAGUACGGAGAGUUUCGUUGUCAAGCUUAACAUAGAACAUUAUUCACAGUUCACACUUCACAGUCAGACUUUAUCCGCUUGCCAGAAGAUUUCUUCAUUCACCGAAGAAACGAGUCAAAUGACCUAAAUACUCAUCCCCAGCAACGUCAACCUGCAGAAGGAAAGGUCAGUUUGCACGGCCUUCCCGCUCGAAGGUCACUGAGAUCAUUACGUAAAACGUGUCAUGCAGUGGUGUAGAGGUUGGGUGAGAACGGGACGUGUUGCAUCUUAUCAAGCAGGUUCAAUAGCCGCAAGCCUUAAGAGAUGAAGGGAUGAAAAAAAAAUCGUAUAUAAGGAGAGAGAAAAGGCGAUAGAAAUCAGUCGAGUGAGCAUCUCCGACACGGCACCAACUGCGGCGCACUAUUUGUCACCAACUGCCUUCUUCAUCGCAUUACCAAUUCGCAAUCAUGGCUAACUAAAGCUUCGUCCUGCUGUUGGCUGUUGUAUCGUUGAUGGCUGGGUUGACCCUGGUGUAACGAUGUCUCCUUGGUAUAGCGGAUACCAAACGGUUGGCGGUUGGUAUGGCGGAUACCAAACCAAAAAGCCGCUGCCUUACACAACAACAAUUUACGCAACGACCAGUUGCUACAUCGAGGCCCUCAAGUACUACUCCACUAAGGUAUUGGAUUAUUUAUACCACAACUUGCUGUGCUCCGAGCUACUACACCGACGCCCCGAGCUACACCACCAAGGCAUCGGAGUAUUACACGACUACGUAUGGUGCCCCAUCCUACUACACCGAGGCCCCGGGCUCCUGUCCCCAGCUACUUACUACACCGAUGCUCCUAAGUACUACUCUGUUCUCAGAAACUUCACCGAGACUCCAGCUUAUUACUCCACCAAAACGGUUGAAUACUACACCGAAGCGCCCAAGAACUACUCUGCCCCGAUCUACACAACCACAACUGAGGCGGAAAAGUAUUACGCAUCCCGACUUACUACACAGAAGUUGUUCCUUCGUAUUACGUUGAACAUAAAUACUACACUGAUGUUCUAGUUUACUACACCUUAACCUACGCUGCACCUAGCUACAACACCGAAGCCCCCAAGUACUACACUGAAGAAGCCGCAUAUUACACAACCACCUACGCUGCCCAAGUUUACUUCACCGAGGAACCCAAGUAUAUUACUCUGCUCCAAACUACUAAGGCUCAUAAGUACUACACCAGCAAGGUUUCUGAGUAUUACACCACUACUUACGCUGCUCCGACCCAAACACCGAAAUUCCACAGUAUUCCUCUGCCCCGAGCUACUACACUACUAAGGCACCAAUAUAACACCUUAACUUUUCUUCAGUUAUGUUCCCGUAGUUGCUGGUGAAAUACUUUAUGCAUAAAGUUAAACUCUUGGCUGAUCCUUGGAGCUGAUGUCGUGUUACAGAAGUUGCAUCCUGUAUUUUAUUCAAUUGUCAUUUUGUCUACAUCGUUUGUAUGAUAAGAAGAAACAAAAACACAGAAAUGGGGAAUUUCUAUGACAAACAAACAAACAAAACUACGCGAGUGGGAAAGGAAGGAAGGAGGAGGAAUUUGGGGAGGAGAGGGAAAAUUUAUUUUCAUAUUUCAGAAGACGAGGUUAAUUACUAAUUAAAUUUCACUAGUUAUGUAAGGAUAAAAGAAUUAUCAACACACUGUAUAACUAACAUUAUCGUACGCACAUAUUAAAAUUAACAAAAAUUAAUCGUUAUAAAAUUGGAAAUGUGUA